rnacentral:tRNA from 1 species
GGUUGUGGCUCAGUGGUAGAGCAGUGGUCUAGCACAUGUGAGGCCCUGGGUUUGAUUCUCAGCACCA